rnacentral:tRNA from 1 species
GGUUGUGACUCAGUGGUAAAGCACUUGCCUAGCAAGCAUGAGGCAUUGGGUUCGUUCCCCAGCACAUUA